rnacentral:rRNA from 1 species
UGGGGAAUUUUGGACAAUGGGCGCAAGCCUGAUCCAGCCAUGCCGCGUGCGGGAAGAAGGCCUUCGGGUUGUAAACCGCUUUUGUCAGGGAAGAAAUCUUCUGAGUUAAUACCUCGGGAGGAUGACGGUACCUGAAGAAUAAGUACCGGCUAACUACGUGCCAGCAGCCGCGGUAAUACGUAGGGUGCAAGCGUUAAUCGGAAUUACUGGGCGUAAAGCGUGCGCAGGCGGUUUUGUAAGACAGAGGUGAAAUCCCCGGGCUCAACCUGGGAACUGCCUUUGUGACUGCAAGGCUUGAGUGCGGCAGAGGGGGGAUGGAAUUCCGCGUGUAGCAGUGAAAUGCGUAGAUAUGCGGAGGAACACCGAUGGCGAAGGCAAUCCCCUGGGCCUGCACUGACGCUCAUGCACGAAAGCGUGGGGAGCAAACAGGAUUAGAUACCCCCGGUAGUCCACGCCCUAAAACGAUGUCAACUGGUUGUUGGGAAGGUUCCUUCUCAGUAACGUAGCUAACGCGUGAAGUUGACCGCCUGGGGAGUACGGCCGCAAGGUUGAAACUUAAAUGAAUUGACGGGGUCAUAGCUGUUUCCUG